AGCGAAAUUUAGUAGCGAAGUAGCUGAUUUCACACUGUCAAGAAAAGUCUCUAUCGAGGUUAAAGGUACCCGUACCGCAAACCGACACAGGUGGGUGAGGAGAGUAUCCUAAGGCCAGCGAGAGAACUGUUGUUAAGGAACUCGGCAAAAUGACCCCGUAACUUAGGGAUAAGGGGUGCCACCAUCAGGUGGCCGCAGAGAAUAGGCCCAAGCGACUGUUUACCAAAAACAUAGGUUUCUGCUAAGUCGCAAGACGAUGUAUAGGAGCUGACGCCUGCCCGGUGCUGGAAGGUUAAGGGGAUCUGUUAGAGCAAUCGAAGCAGUGAACUUAAGCCCCAGUAAACGGCGGCCGUAACUAUAACGGUCCUAAGGUAGCGAAAUUCCUUGUCGGGUAAGUUCCGACCCGCACGAAAGGCGUAACGAUUUGGGCACUGUCUCAACAACAGACUCGGUGAAAUUGUAAUUCCGGUGAAGAUGCCGGAUACCUGCGACAGGACGGAAAGACCCCAUGGA
rnacentral:rRNA from 1 species